GAUCCUUAACCUACUAAGCAAGGCCAGGGAUCCAACCCACAUCCUCAUGGUUCCUAGUCAAAUUGGUUUCUGCUGAGCCACGACGGGAACUCCCUGCAGUAAUUUUAAAAUUGCCUUCCCACAGCAUAUAGCGGCCAUCACUAGUAAUUAAUGCAGAGCUUCUUAUCAAUGUGAAUAUGUGUGGUUUGCUUUCUUCAUAUCUUUCCUCCACUCUCAAGCACACAUUUUUGAUGAGUGAUCUUUUAUUAUUCUAAUAGCUGUAAGGAUGCAUAUGAAACAGCUCGUCUUUAGAAUCUUCGAGCCAAUGAGAGAAAGAGGGUUCCAUCUCCAAACUAUGGCAAUGAUCUUUGCACCACAGGGAAUGUGGUCUGUGCCUAGAACCACCCAGAGCUCUAGACUCCAGAGGAGAAGGCAGCCCCCCGCCCUUGUGGGGAUGGUUAUGGCUUCCUGGAGGAGGCGGACAUUCAGAAGGGCCUCCGAAGAUGCGGAAGGCUUCCAUGAAGACAGAUUCGGUGGAGAACAGGAGUUCUGGGAAGGGGAGCCUCACAAGCACUUCCGGAAAGUCUCAGUUUAGCCGAAUGGAGGUACCGCUAGGGCAGAGAUGGAAGGAACAGAGCAGCUACAAAGGCUUUAAGUUUGUGUCGCUAUUUCCAGCACAACCCCUGGCACGUCCGUUAUCUCAUUCAACCUCCUUCAGCACCACAGGGAGGCAGGUCUUCAAGCAGAGGUGAGCCUUUGUGCUUCACUAGAGAAGAAGAGAAGCACUGGCGAGUUCCCGCUAGGAGAAGGGUGGUCAUGGUGCUGCCAGUACUUGGGAGGGGGUGGUGGGGACGGGGGUGGCUGUUGUGUUUGAUGUGCAUAAUGCCUACUUUCUUCUAGAAAUAGACCCUGCCCGACCUGUCAGGAUGAGAACUUCUGUCUGUGGGAUAUUUGGGUCAGGCCAGCAGGAGAACGGCUUUCUUUCCUCCCUGCUCUGAGGUCUAAGGUCUGGCCCAGAACUGGCACUUGCCUUGCUAUCUGGGGGGAUGGGAAGGCAGGAGAAGGGGCCACGUCCAAGUCCAGAGGCCCCCUGUGGCUCUGGGACUCGCCCCCAAAGACUCCCUAAAAACCCCCUUCCACUGAAGUCCCUUCUCUUUGGACUUCACCCUUUAUAACUGAGAGGGACCUCCCAAUACAGGUGGGCUGAGCAGGGGAGCUGGGGGCUUGGGGUCCAUUUAGGCGCUCUGCUCGUCUCAAAGUCUGUCUUAGCCUUUUCCUAAAAUACACCCUGUGCACCCUAAGUCUACAAAGUUCCCUUAAAAAGGGGAGGUCAACCAUUCAUUCAUUUAUUCAACAAAUAUGUACCGAGCACUUAGUGUUUGCCAGGCUGCACUCUGACUGUGAGGGGGAAGCUGGAAUGAGAGUCCAAACAGGUUUCUGUCUUUAUCGUGAACAUAGCCUCACGGGGCAGGCAGACUCUACAAAGUAAGCACAAUAAGAAAGCCUCAGCAUUCUGUCCUAGAAGGAAAACGUCACUUGCCCACAGUGACCCCAGGCUAUGCCCCAGGACCCUGCGGGGCCAGCACUGAGCGCAGGUCAAGCAUUUACUCGGAAGACGUCUGACAGAGAAGACAGGGUGGGGGAGAAAUCCACAGUAGUGGGGACAGUGGGAGAUUCUUGCUGGUCCUCUUUCUUCAAAUGGAGGUCUCCUCAUCUUUAGUGAUUCAGCACAUAAACGGAGCUGUUCCCAACAUCACUCUCGUGGACCUCCUGAAACCCUGUCACUGCGACCUUUCGGUUCCACUCCGCAAUUCUUUUGCCCUUGAGACCAUCAACGAACAGUGACCUCAAGUUCUGACAAUCAGAGAGACUGAACAACAAAAACUCGAAGGAAAGGGCCGGAAAUGAGCUUAGUGUGAAGCAAGAGGGGGAAGAGAUUAAAUCCACGUCCUAUCCAUUGCUAAUUGAUUUUUCUUGCGUGUUUUGACAAAUUGUUCCUCCCUAUACAUUUUGGACAUUUAUGAAGAAGUUAGAGGAAAUUCCUCACGCUCCGUAAGUUCUUGCUAUUUAUAUAUACAUAUGUAUAUUCGGUAUCAUUUUCGUCAUUUAAGAUCGGCAGCUGGCUGGGAUCGAUCCAGGGAUUUUGGCCUGGGUCACUGAGAUCCAUGGGCUCCGAGUGAAACCAGGGUUGUAACGAUGCCUCACGGUCUUCUGCUAAAUGUCAAGACCAGAGGUGACAUCCUGUUGAAACCAGGAGAGGAGACUCGGUGAAAUGUUCCAGGUGACGUCGAGGGAAGAGAAAAUGAGGCUUAAACACAAUCCCAAGUCAGGGCUUGAGACGGAGAGAUUUGCCCUGUUAGGGUAAUCAAUCCUACAGCCUGGAGGCACCCACAGCCCUACCAACACUCCCGAAAAUAUCCUAGGGCCCAAGACGCCCUGGGCUCACGGCGUCUGGCGGCUGCUUCCACACAGGCCCACCCUGGUCCGCUCCACUUCAACCCGGACACGGGACCCGGGCCCUCACUGGUUCUCCUUUACAAACGAGGUGUUUAAGAAGUUGGUAAACCUACCAAAGAACUGGGGGCCCACAUGCAGCACAGCCUACGCGACCCACAGAUGGACCCGCUGUCACCAUCAGUCACUCCUGGGCUCUGGGUCCUUGUCCACCGCAGCGCUGGGGCCUCGGAGUCAGCGCCCCAACUCUGCUCCUUCUGCUGGCUCCCACAUCCUCUUCUCUCUACCCAGGGACUGCCCCUUUGGCUGGGGCAACAUAAACCCUUGCCCCUGAGGCCCCAGGUCUCAACCCCUAUUAUUCGUGUGCAUCAAAGUAUUUUUCCAAAUCAAGACAGUUCCCUUCCUGGGAGAUAUUCUGGAGCGAAAUGUCAGGAUGGCUACAAGUCCUCCUCCUGCUGUGGUGCCUGUUACUUAAACAUGAGCUUUCUUAUUGCAGGGCAGGGGACAGCAUAAAGUCACGUCUGCCCCUUUCUCCUUUUCCUCCGUUACCCCAACAAGGCAGUGACUAUCUCCAUGUAGGAAAAGGAAAGAGGCGGAAGCCAAAAUCAGGACAGCGCUCAAGGGCAGUCUGGCAAAAGAACAGCCCUCCAGAGUGCACUUCCCU
rnacentral:lncRNA from 1 species